AGCUUUAUAGUCUAAUUAAGGAUAUUAGAUUGCAAAUCUGAAGGUAUAAAUUGUUAAAGCUU
rnacentral:tRNA from 1 species